UACGUAGGGUGCGAGCGUUGUCCGGAAUUAUGGGGCGUAAAGAGCUUGUAGGCGGUUUGUCGCGUCUGCCGUGAAAAUCCGGGGCUCAACCCCGGACUUGCGGUGGGUACGGGCAGACUAGAGUGUGGUAGGGGAGACUGGAAUUCCUGGUGUAGCGGUGAAAUGCGCAGAUAUCAGGAGGAACACCGAUGGCGAAGGCAGGUCUCUGGGCCACUACUGACGCUGAGGAGCGAAAGCCAGGGGAGCAAACGGG
rnacentral:rRNA from 1 species